rnacentral:rRNA from 1 species
GCUUGCUCCUUGAUUCAGCGGCGGACGGGUGAGUAAUGCCUACGAAUCUGCCUGGUAGUGGGGGACAACGUUUCGAAAGGAACGCUAAUACCGCAUACGUGCUACGGGAGAAAGCACGGGACCUUCGGGCCUUGCGCUAUCAAUGAGCCUAGGUCGGAUUAGCUAGUUGGUGAGGUAAUGGCUCACCAAGGCGACGAUCCGUAACUGGUCUGAAGGAUGAUCACUCACACUGGAACUGAGACACGGUCCAGAGUCCUACGGGAGGCAGCAGUGGGGGAAUAUUGGACAUGGGCGAAGCCUGAUCCAGCCAUGCCGCGUGUGUGAGAAGGUCUUCCGAUUGUAAGGCACUUUAAGUUGGGAGGAAGGGCAGUAAGUUAUACCUUGUGUUUGACGUUACCGACAGAAUAACCCGGCUAACUCUGUGCCAGCAGCCGCGUAAUACGGAGGGUGAAGCGUUAAUCGCAAUUACU